UACGUAGGGGCAAGCGUUGUCCGGAUUUAUUGGGCGUAAAGAGCGUGUAGGCGGCCAGAUAGGUCCGUUGUGAAAACUCGAGGCUCACCUCGAGACGCCGAUGGAAACCAUUUGGCUAGAGUCCGGAAGAGGAGAGUGGAAUUCCUGGUGUAGCGGUGAAAUGCGCAGAUAUCAGGAAGAACACCCGUGGCUAAGGCGGCUCUCUGGGACGGUACUGACGCUGAGACGCGAAAGCGUGGGGAGCGAACAGG
rnacentral:rRNA from 1 species